rnacentral:rRNA from 1 species
GACGAACGCUGGCGGCGUGCUUAACACAUGCAAGUCGAACGAUGAACCUCGAAAUGAUUUCUUCGGAACGAUUUUUGAGAGGAUUAGUGGCGAACGGGUGAGUAACGCGUGAGCAACCUGCCUUAGACAAGGGGAUAGCCUCGGGAAACCGUGAUUAAUACCCUAUGAGACUCCACUUACGAGUGUAAGAGAAGUUAAAGCUAUUGCGGUCUAAGAUGGGCUCGCGUCUGAUUAGCUAGUUGGUGAGAUAAAAGCCCACCAAGGCGACGAUCAGUAACCGGCUUGAGAGACUGAACCGUCACAUUGGAACUGAGACACGGUCCAAACUCCUACGGGAGGCAGCAGUGGGGAAUAUUGCAAAAUGGGGGCAACCCUGAUGCAGCGACGCCGCGUGAGCGAUGAAGGAAUUCGUGUCGUAAAGCUCUGUCCUGGGAGAAGAUAAUGACGGUAACCAAGGAGGAAGCACCGGCUAACUACGUG